rnacentral:rRNA from 1 species
GAUGAACGCUGGCGGCGUGCCUAAUACAUGCAAGUAGAACGCUGAAGCUUGGUGCUUGCACCGAGCGGAUGAGUCGCGAACGUGUGAGUAACGCGUAGGUAACCUGCCUCUUAGCGGGGUAAAAUUAUGGAAAUGGAUCGUAAACCCGAUAUAAAAUCCGACUUCGUUGGAUGUGAUUUCAAAAGUGGAAAUUGCGCCAUUAAAGAUGGACCUGUCGUUUUAUUAGUUAGUUGGUGGGGUACCGCCCCACCAAGGAAACGUUACAAUGCUGACAUGAACGGGAGGUCGGCCCCACUGGGAAUGAGACACGGCCCAGACUGCUACGGGAGGCAGCAGUAAGGAAUCUUCGGCAAUGGGGGGAACACUGACCGAGAAAGGCAGCGGGAGUGAAGAAGGAUUUCGGAUCGUAAAGCUCGGUUGUAAGGGAAGAACGAGUGUGAGAGUGGAAAGUUCACACUGUGACGGUAACUUACCAGAAAAGGACGGCUAACUACGUG